ensembl:lncRNA
GCAAAAGGCCGUCUGAGGACAUGGGGGCCAAGGACUAUAGGGUUCUGCUCUGUUUCAAAACUGGUUUCGUCAGGUGGCUCCUGGCAACACAGAGUUCUCGCAAGCAGAAAAAACACCGUUCUUGGCAGGACCAUGGAGAGCGAACUCCAGCAUUGUUUCCGCUUCUCGCAGAAUUUUAAAGAAUAGAUGACAUCACCAUCUUCACACCCUCCUAGCACUCAUGAUGUAGCACUCACUAUAUGGGUAGCACUGUUGUAGUCUGACCCUCACUGUGACCCCGUAAUAUUUAGCAGAAAACUCAUGACAGAGGUUGACAUUUCUCAGGCUCCCAGAGUUAUCACGCAGCAAAUCCAUGUUCGAACCUGAGAUCCCAUGAUUCCACUCUCCUUGGUCCUAACUGCUGGACUAAUUUUCUUUUCAUCAUCCCUCACUCGGUAGUAGAUAAUGCCCUUGUCAUUAAAUAAAUGAAUGUUGAGAACAGAGCAUCAAUGGGAUUGCAAAUAGCAAUGUUCUAACCACCAGAGCCUUGUAGGACAGGAAUCGCUGCAUUGAAUUGAGACCAAACAUGAUCACUCAUUAGGGAGAUAAUAAGCAGAAAUGAAGAGGAAAAAAAAUGUCUCACUAAAAGAGAAACAAAAGCCUUCAGCUCCUAAUCUCAGUAAGAAAGCUGGGAUUUAAGUUGGUUUAAAGUGCUCAGCAGCACAUGAGUCAUACGUUGCUUGAGGCAGUCAUCCUUCUGUCUGAUGCAUUUCAAGCAAAAAGGCGCAGCUCACAUAGACAUGGAGGGAAGUUGAUGCUCUUUUAUUGCAUUAUAUUACAGCAGGUAGAUCUUACAUCAUGCACGGGCGCUGUGUCGCUUCAGUCGUGUCCGAUGCUUUGCGACCCUUAGACUGUAGCCCACCAAGCUCCUCGGUCCGUGGGGUUUUCCAGACAAGAAUACUGGAGUGGGUUGCCAUUCCCUUCUCCAGCAGAUCUUCCUGACCCAGGGAUCAAACCUGUGUCUCUUGCGGCUCCUGCAUGACAGGCAGAUUGUUUACCACUGAGUUUCCUGGGAAGCGCACGUUACGACUGCCACAAUCAUUCAAUACAAGGAAACGAAUCAUCGUUCAAUGAUUGGAUGAGGAGUGCCUUUGGCAAAGAACCAAGGGGCGUGGAGAACAGACCCGACACUUACCAGCCACCUUGAAUGUGGAAACGAGAGCCCUGCUUCCAGCCAGACACCCUGCCGAGUGUGUUCCGGGACAGCGGCCUGAAUUCCCCUCCGGAUAGAAUGGUGAGCAGGUGGAUAUCUUCAACGUCCUGUGUUUGCUGAAAUAGCAGACCUGCCACGCUGUGGGUGAGCAAGAAGAUGGAGGUGAAAUACGACAACCCUAGACCAUCUCAACAGCAGCAAGGCUGAGUGCCCGGCACAGGCUUGAGUGUGGAAAAGUGUCGGGCAAGAGAGGAAGGCUUCAGCCUGUGUGAGAAGCCAACUCAGCCCCCAGUGCAGACUCUGCCAUCGCCUAGCUGCGGGAGUUGGGUCCGUUUCACAAAGUGUGAAACCUGCUGGUCCAGUGGUUAAGACUUGCCCUUCCAGUGUAGAUGAAUGCUGUCCCCAAAUGGAUGAAUCGGUUGACUAGUUGAUCAGUAAACUGUAAAUGCUGCUGUAAAAUAAAGAGUGUUUUGGCAAUAAAUCAGACAUGAAGAAUUCUCGGUUUCCCCGGGGAGCAUUUUUGAAGACUCUAGGAAAGUCCCAAUACAGAGGAACAACUCCGCUGCAAAGUGUCCCGUGAAAAGCUACAUCACAGGAGAAUCUGCCUCCAAAAAAGAAUGCUGUAUGGGGCCACUGACUUGGAUGCUUCUGGGGACGUGUGAUUCUCAUAUAAGGCCUCUGGGAAGAGCCCAGUGGGAUCUCUGGGACCGCUCCCUUUGACAUCAUGC